AAAGACGUGAGCCACCAUGAGAGUGCUGGAAACUUGGCCACCAUCUUCUAUUUCAGAGGAAGCAAUCAUUCUAGAAAGGAUGAGAGAAGAAACUCAUGAAAUGAGAAUUAAAGCAUCUGAGAGUCCCCUGCCUAAACAUGAAUGCUGUUUAAAACCGUUGGCUAAAGCGCCCACACGGAGUGCAAACCGAACUUUCUCAGAAAUGGCCACGCUAUUUAAUCUAUAUUAAAAUUGAUUUAAAAACCCA
rnacentral:lncRNA from 1 species